UACGGGGGGCGGAAGCAGCUGUUCGGUGAAUUACUGGGCCGUAAAGGGCUCGUAGGUGGCCAACUAAGUCAGACGUGAAAUCCCCUCAGCUUAACUGGGGAACUGCGUCUGAUACUGGAUGGCUUGAGUUUGGGAGAGGGAUGCGGAAUCCAGGUGUAGCGGUGAAAUGCGGCAGAUAUCAAGAGGAACACCAAUUGCGAAGGCAGCUCGCUGGGACGUUACUGACGCUGAGACGCGAAAGCGUGGGGAGCAAACAGG
rnacentral:rRNA from 1 species